CAUUUCCUGCUUUCACCAAUUAACCACUGAAUUGCUAUUUUUUCCUUUUGGCCACAUAGCUAGGUUUCUGGUUCCCCCACAGUAGGUGUUUUCACAUAAGAUUAGGGUCUUUUUGGAAAGAAUAGUUGCAGUGUUUAUAGGAUAGUUGUGGUAAGAAUCUAGUUUAUUUUGCAUUUGGCUAAUUGGUCUGUGCUGCAUGGUUAUAUACUCCUGGAUUAUAGAUAAAAAGUCUCCGUAGACAUCUCUGUGAAGAGCAAGCUAUCAUUAAACAUGUCUGUUUAUCA
rnacentral:lncRNA from 1 species